CAGUCGCCGCGGGAAUACGUAGGGUGCAAGCGUUAAUCGGAAUUACUGGGCGUAAAGCAUGCGCAGGCGGUUCGUUAAGACAGAUGUGAAAUCCCCGGGCUUAACCUGGGAACUGCAUUUGUGACUGGCGGGCUAGAGUAUGGCAGAGGGGGGUAGAAUUCCACGUAUAGCAGUGAAAUGCGUAGAGAUGUGGAGGAAUACCGAUGGCGAAGGCAGCCCCCUGGGCCAAUACUGACGCUCAUGCACGAAAGCGUGGGGAGCAAACAGGAUUAGAUACCCCCGUAGUCCCUGUCUCUUAUAC
rnacentral:rRNA from 1 species